rfam:Triticum aestivum genome assembly, contig: Triticum_aestivum_CS42_TGACv1_scaffold_404729_5BL
ACAGUACUCCCCCCAUCCGAAAAUACUCAUCGGAAAAAUGGAUGUAUCUAGAUGUAUUUUAGUUCUAGAUACAUCUAUUUUUUAUCAAUUUCUCCGACAGUAUUUUCGGACGGAGGGAGUACUAU